UACGGGGGGGGCAAGCGUUGUUCGGAAUUACUGGGCGUAAAGGGUGCGUAGGCGGUCUGUUAAGUUUGGAUGUGAAAACUCUGGGCUCAACCCAGAGCCUGCAUCCAAAAACUGGCAGGCUAGAGUUCUGGAGGGGGGUAGCGGAAUUCCUGGUGUAGCGGUGAAAAUGCGUAGAUAUCAGGGAGGGAAACACCCGGUGGGCGAAA
rnacentral:rRNA from 1 species